GACAGAGGGUGCAAACGUUUGUUCGGAAUUACUGGGCGUAAAGCGAGUGUAGGCGGUCUCAUAAGUCGGGUGUGAAAGCCCCGGGCUCAACCCGGGAAGUGCACUCGAAACUGCGAGGCUAGAGUAUCGGAGAGGUUGGUGGAAUUCUCGGUGUAGAGGUGAAAUUCGUAGAUAUCGAGAGGAACACCGGCGGCGAAGGCGGCCAACUGGACGAAUACUGACGCUGAGACCCGAAAGCGUGGGGAGCAAACAGG
rnacentral:rRNA from 1 species